rnacentral:tRNA from 1 species
GCCUUCGUGGUGUAAUGGUUAGCAUAUUCGGCGCGUAUUCGAGAGUUUCAGGUUCGAAUCCUGGCGAGGGUA